rnacentral:rRNA from 1 species
GACAGAGGCCCCAAGCAUUACCCGGAAUCACUGGGCGUAAAGGGUGUGUAGGCGGUCGUGUUAGUCCUUUGUGAAAGCCCGUGGGCUCAACCCAUGGAACGCAGGGGAAACGGCACGACUUUUGAGGGUGCGAGAGGUGCACGGAACUCAUGGUGUAGGGGUGAAAUCCGUUGAUAUCAUGGGGAACACCGAUUGCGAAGGCAGUGCACUGGCGCAUUCCUGACGCUGAGACACGAAAGCGUGGGUAGCG